AAACAAAGAACAAUCCUUCUCCAUAAAAACCAAAAACCCCCUCCCUCUAAAAACAAAGUCUUGAAUGGCUUUUAUAGCCAAAUUUUACAAGUGGAGUGGUUGGGGUGGUUUAGGUGGCCAAGGGUGGUGGAGUUGGUGGCUAAGGUGGGUGGAGUUGGUGGCUAAGGUGGGUGGCCAACAAAGGUGGUGGAGUAGGUGGCCAAGGUU
rnacentral:lncRNA from 1 species